rnacentral:rRNA from 1 species
AGAGUUUGAUCCUGGCUCAGAUUAAACGCUGGCGGCAUGCCUUACACAUGCAAGUCGAACGGCAGCACGGGGGCAACCCUGGUGGCGAGUGGCGGACGGGUGAGUAAAGCAUCGGAACGUAUCCUGGAGUGGGGGAUAACGUAGCGAAAGUUACGCUAAUACCGCAUAUUCUGUGAGCAGGAAAGCAGGGGAUCGCAAGACCUUGCGCUCUGGGAGCGGCCGAUGUCGGAUUAGCUAGUUGGUGGGGUAAAGGCCUACCAAGGCGACGAUCCGUAGCGGGUCUGAGAGGAUGAUCCGCCACACUGGGACUGAGACACGGCCCAGACUCCUACGGGAGGCAGCAGUGGGGAAUUUUGGACAAUGGGCGCAAGCCUGAUCCAGCCAUGCCGCGUGAGUGAAGAAGGCCUUCGGGUUGUAAAGCUCUUUCGGCGGGGAAGAAAUUGCACGGGUUAAUACCCUGUGUAGAUGACGGUACCCGAAUAAGAAGCACCGGCUAACUACGUG